UCGGCUGGCAUCUGCUCGGCUCAUACCCCAUGUGCAUGAGACUCAGGACUGGCAAGCCCUGGGCAUUGCUGAGUCUGUUCCUUCGGCCCCAUCAUCUCCUCCUGUGCCUGCCCUGUGCCAGUUUCCAGCCCUCGGAGGCUUGCAUCUCUAGGAACCCUCUCCUGAGCGCCACAGGCCUGUGCCAAGGCUCCUGGUGUCCCCAGAGCCUCUCUCCUGCCUCUGCCCAGCACUCCUAGGCCCCAGAUGUUCCCUCUUGUACACUUGUGUCACUGCAGGCUCCACAGCCCUCUCACCUCACUUUCUGGCCUGCACAUCCUUUGUGGACAGGGACUAAGUGGGACCCACCUGCCCCCCCUAGCCAGGGCAGGACCCCGGGCUUGAAGACUGUCUCCCCGUCUCCCUCCAACUGGGCCCUGGGUGUCUCCUCGCUCCUGGUCAUCCCCAGGGCCUGAGGCCUCUCAGCUGUGUGCCUCGGGGGAACGGUGGUGGGCAGAGUGAUGUGGGUGCGGUGGCCAUUUCCUGCCCUCUGCCGUGCAACCUCACUCUCUUGCCAGUCCCCCGAGGGGUGGCAUCUCCAUCUGACACAUCUUGGCCCCUCAUACUCAGCCCAGGGCCAAGUCCUGUUGUGGGAUGUUUUCAGGUGAAUGUCUGAGUGGCCAUUCCCCCCUCGUUUUCCCCUAGCAAACUUCUGCUCACCCACUAAGCCUCAACUCUAACAUCCGUUCCUCUGGAAGCCUCCCUUGACCUUCGGGCAGUUACUUUCCCCUCUGGGCCCUGAUGUCCCUCUCUGCGGGUUAUGUCCAGGUCAGAUUCCCCCACCGUGCCAGGAGCUCCCAAGGGAAGUGUCCAGUGUCAUCAUACGAAUGGACCUGGCCCAAGGAAGUCCAGGAAGCGCUUGCUGACUGAGUGACCAAGUCAGCAAAGCGGCAUCAUGAGUGUUCUUCACUCCCGUCCAACUUUACUCUCCCGGAUGCUGCCUUUCAUUGACUGUAACCUUCCUCCUGCAGGGGCCAGGGCAGACCCCCAACCCCCAAAAGCAGCCCAAAGUCCACCAAGUGCAGCCCUCAGACGCUGAAGCGGAGUCGGGCAACCAUCUCUCUUGAGGCUUUGCCCUCGGGGACAGAGCUGAUGGACAAAAAUGGGCAGGCUGGAGGCUGGGAGCGCUGCAGACCAGGGACGACCAGGGCAUUCUCUACGCAGCCGAGUCCGCCUCUGUCCUCCCCUGCCAGUCAAGGUCUCAAAAACACCAAUUCUCCAUCAAACUGGAUGCCAAAGAUGGUCGCCUGUUCAAUGAGCAGAACUUCUUCCAGCGGGCUGCCAAGCCUCUACAAGUGAAUAAAUGGAAGAAGCUGUACUCAACCCCCGCUCCUGGCCAUCCCCACCUGUAUCGGUUUUGGUGUUCACCAGGACAAGUACAGGUUCUUGGUGUUCCCCAGCCUGGGUCGGAGCCUGCAGUCAGCCCUGGAUGUGAGCCGAAGCAUGUGAUACCGGAGAAGUGUGUGUUCCAGGUGGCCUGCCGGCUGCUGGAUGCCCUGGAAUUCCUCCAUGAAAAUGAGUAUGUUCAUGGGAAUCUGACAGCAGAGAAUGUCUUUGUGAAUCCAGAAGAUCUGAGCCAGGUGACCCUGGCAGGCUACAGCUUCUCCUUCCGCUAUUGCCCAAGUGGCAGACAUGUGGCCUACACAGAAGGCAGCAGGAGCCCCCACGAGGGGGGACCUCGAGUUCAUUAGCAUGGAUCUACAUAAAGGAUGUGGGCCCUCCCGCCGGAGUGACCUCCAGACCCUUGGCUACUGUAUGCUGAAGUGGCUUUAUGGGUCCCUGCCGUGGACAAACUUCCUUCCCAACACUGAGGAGAUCAUGAAGCAGAAGCAGAAGUAUCUUGACAACCCAGAGCCACUCGGACUGUGUGGUCACCGCAGCAGAUCCUCAGACAACAUCUAAAUUGCUCAAUCUGGCCUCCUCAAACUCAAGAUCCUCCUGCCUCAGCCCCACAAGGAGCGGGGUUCCAGGCGUGACCUACCAUGCCUGCCCUUUUUCUGUUUUGCUUUUCUCCCCUGAGAAGAGUAUCUUGGAGAUGUCUUAUGUUGGUAUGUGUAGAAUUUUGUCAGUAUUUUAAAAUUUGUAAUAAAAUACACAAAACAGUCUUUUUAUUUUCUUGGUGUUGGGGAUUGAAUCCAGGGUCUUGCACAUGCUCUCCCAGUGAGCUAGUUCCCCAGCUCAGUAUUUUAAAAACUGUGAUCGUGGCUUAUUAGUCAUAAAGUUAAUUCAGUGGGUCAAGAACAGCAUUUAAAAACAGUAACGUGGGCCAGGUAUUUAGCUCAGUGAUUCCGCAGCCUGCCUCGAAAGCACAAGGUUCUGAGUUCGAUCCCCUGGUACAAAAAAAAAAACAUUAACGCUGGGUGUAGUGGUGCAUGCCUGCAGUCCCAGCCCUGGGAAGACUGAGGCAGGAGAAAUACCACGAGUUUUAGGCCACCCUGGGCUGUCCCAGCACAGCCCCCAGACCCUGGACGGGGGGUUCCUCUCAUCCUCCCAUGCCUAUGGGGGUGUCUUGGCCACAGAGGCCCUGCAGCAGUACCUGAUGGUGGUGAUGGCCCUCAAGUACGAGGAGAAGCCGCCUCACGCCAUCCUGAGGAACGGUCUGGAAGCCCUGCUGCAGGAUCUGCAGGUGUCAGCCUAUGACCCCCUCAACCUACAGAUGGCACCCAGGCAGGACCCAGGUAAGGGAGUGUGCCAGCCUUAGCCCGUGCCCUUCCUGGGCCAUGUGUGACUGCUCGCAGAUGCAGCCACCAGUGCCGCAGCUCCCGGGGAACCCUGAGUCUCUGCAGCUCCUCCGGCACAGUCCGGUUCCGGGCAAGUAGCCUGUCCCUCGACUGAGCUCGGCUGUCCGAGAGCUGGAGCCUGGGUCUUUGUCACAGCAUUCUGAGGGGAGCUCGAGGCAGGGCUGCGUUCAGGGCCUUGCAAACAGCAUCAAGGCUUUUCCUUCUCUCUCUAUCCACUUUUGUCCCCUCUGGUAUUUGGCGACUCCCACUCCCCUGUCCCCGACUCACACAGACACUGUUGCCCCUGGGCCCCUUGGCCCUCUGUGCUCUCCUGAGUCAUGGGGUCUCUCUGCUCAGCACAGGUCAGCUGCACGGCUCCACCUGCCCCCUGUAGCUGAGGAAUCUGCAGCCAUAGACUGGACCAACCAUGGAUCCAGAAUAUUUUCAAACCUUGUGCCUGUACUGAAUAUUUGUAGACUUACUCUUACUGUUCCCGAAACGUUGGCACCCAGGGUCCUGGAACCCACCCAGGGGACCCUGAGGGCCGCCUAUCCCCUCCGGUGUGCUCCAAGGAGCCUGCACAGCCAGCUGCAUGGCAUUUGCUCAGUGCCCAGCGUUGGUUUACAAAUAGCACCGCUGCACAGCCGUGUGCACAGCUGGCUGCUGGGGUGCGUGUCCAUGCUUGGAGUCCCCUCUACCCACGCUCACGGGCUGCUCUGCAGCAGGGCUGUGCCAUCCAGACACCCACCAGCACCACCAGACUGGGCGGGAGUUUCGGGACAAAGAUCAGUUCCAUUCAAGUCACCAAAGAUGGGGCAGGGCAGCCGGCUGUGUCCCCGAGCAAGAGCUUCCCCAAGCCCCUCCUCUCCACCGAGCUUCAUUCCUGUCAUGGUGCUUGGUUCCAUUCAAAGCUCCAUGUCUGUCUAACUCAGGGCGCCAGGGGCAUCUGGCAGAGCCUGGGGACACUUUUGGCUGCACCAGCUUAGGAGAGCGUGCAACUGAGCACCCAGCCGCAGAGGCCAGGGCCGCUGAUCAGCAUGGAUACCACAUAGCACAGCCCUGCCGCUGUCACCAGCAGAGACCUACCUGCCAGGUGUCACCAGGGAGCUGUUGAGAUCGCCUGAUCUGGGACCUUCCUGAGCAGCACCACCCAGGUGGCCGUCUGUCUGCUUUGCUGUCAUCUUCCUGGCAGCAGCGUGGACCACGGGUGUUUCUCCUGAAAGAUAACACAGUGCACACAGCACCUGCACAGAGCCAGAAAUGCAGUACUAGGGCCGAGGGCUCCGCACUGACCACGGAUCCCCUCAAAAGUAAAAAGUAAAAAGUAGAGUUGGAGCCGGGCAUGGUGGCACAAGCCUGCAGUGCCAGCACUCGGGAGACAGAGGCAGGGGAAUUAAUUAUCUGGAGUUCCAGGCCAGCCUGGGCUACAUAGUGAGCUCAGGACCAGCCUGAACUAUGCAGUGAGACCUUGUCUAAAAAAAGUGAAGUUAUGACCGUCUCUGCCCCACUGGUGUCUGUGUCUCUGUUCUUCUGGCCCAGCUCAAGGCGGCAGCCCCGUGGGUGUUCACCAGCGAGGCUGCCACUUGUGUGGAGGCGGAAGCCCGCAUGGACCCCACUACAGAGCAGGGAGGGCAUGGUGACCUGGAGUCUGGCCUGUUUAGCACAGAUGCCAAGCGCUAGGGACAAUGAUACGAAUUCACCAAGAAUGGAGAUUUUUAAGCCUCUACAUUAGCAGCCCCUUUCACGAUCAUUGACACCUGCUUACACCCUGGUAGCCACGCACUCAGUGACAGGUCUGUCCCUUGGUCGGAACUUAAAGCCAUGAUCUUGAAUAACGAUGGCAGCCCUUGGCUGUGCCCUUGGCAGACCCUCUCCCCUGCUCACCAUCCAUGAGUGCCACCUGCCUUCACCCUCUCGUUCUAGACCAGGCCAAGGCCCUUUGUCCCUGCCACUCCCGUGGUCUGGAGCGCUGUCCCCCUUGUACACAGCUGUCUUCUCUCCCUCGUCUGAGGCCAGGGGGACUGUCCCAGUGAGGCACGUCCUCACUGCCUGCCACCUGCCACUAUCACCUGCUCCAUGCACUACCCUGUUCCCCACUGAGGGGACACGUGUUGACACACAAGGUCUCCACCCCCUUCCUGCAGACUGUAAGCACUUAUGGGUCCUGGCCUCUGGCCCACAGCUGUGUCCUUGGAACCUAAUAGCAGCCUGGCACGAAGGGGCAGCAGGAAGAAAGGGAGCGCCUUGAAGCGUACAGCUCUAAUAGCCAUUUGCCUUGUUUUCCAGAACUUUCAACCUGCCGUUUGAAAUAGAAAAAUGAAGCUGUGUGAGCCAAGGCCUGCCGUUUAGUCGCAGAUGAGUUCUAGGAAAAUCCCUGGAAUGUGCAUUGCCACCCCUUCUCCAGUGCUGAUCAGCUCAGGGAGCCCUGCGGGUAAUGUGAAGCUCCUCUUCUCACUGCUGUCUCACAGCCUCCAGGCGUGAGGAUGAAGACUCCAACUCAGGCGAGUUGGGCCCCUCACUAAGACCCUCCUGGUCCCACCGUGCUUUAAUAAUAAGUCAUUUUCUUGAGCAUUCGGUCUUUCCUUCGUUUAUUCUAACUUUUCCGCCAUGGCAGAGCAUGGCUUACAGUCCAGGCUACUUAGGAGGCUGAGGUGAGAGAAUCACUUGAGUCCAAGAGUUUGAGACCAGCCUGGGCCACACAGUAAGACCUCCUCUCAAUGACAACUUUCCCAUCUGUUCAUUCCUACUUUAAUGGACGUUCAUAUCCAUUUAGUCUUCUGUGUGUCCCAUCUAUCCACCCUCCAGUCCUUUCAAUCCAUCCUCCCUUUCAUUCAUCUCUGCAGACUCCUAUAUACACACCCAGCCUUCACUCUUCCACUUAACCAUCAGUCCAUCUGCUUCCCAUCUGUCCUUUUAUCCUUCUGCUUCCUUAUUCUUUGACUCCCUUACCCUUUCUCUCUUUCAUACAUUCAUCCUUCCUUUUAUUCAAAAAGUGCUCAUCGGGCGCCUGUCUCGCAAGCACAAGGUCCCGAGUUCUAUCUCCAUUACCAAAAAAAAAAAAAAAAAAUACUCACGGGAUAUUUUGUCUUGGUGAGUUUUCCAUUAUUAUUAUGCCGGCCUGAGGCAGGCACUGCCUAGGAGGCACUGUAGGAGAUGAGGUUUGCUGGGCUCAUGGUUCUCAAGGUUCACAGGUGUAGUACCGGCUUCAGCUCUCCCCUGGUGAGGGCUGUCUUUUUUUUUUUUAAUACAAAAUAUCUUUAUUUACCAAUUCUGGGUGCACACCUGUAAUCCUAGCACUCAGGAGGCUGAGGCAGGAAGAUUGCCACGAGUUCGAGGCCAGUUUGGGCUACAUAGAGAGCCCAAGGUGCCAAUUUAUGAAAAGAAAACUGGAAGUUGAAGGGACCACUGCUUCAAUCAAAAGUAAUUCUAGUGUGAGAAACUGAAAGUGUAAAUGAGGAUGAAAAUGAUUAAAACGAAUAAUUGAUCAUUUGAAAUAGGAAAAGAUCCAAAGGAGUAGGGGUGGCAGAAGGGGGAAGAGGAAAGGGAAGAAGGGAAAGGAAAAAUUAUGAGAAAGAAAAAAAACAAUGGAAACAAAGUCUAUGUAAAUAGGGAAGGGUGGAGGGGGGGAAGGGCGCACAGGUAAUGGGAGAAAAAAUAAGAACCAAGAUCAUCAUGUUCAGGUGCAAGCACCCAAUGACAAAUGUAAAUGUAUUGUAUACCUAAAAUGGACCAAUUAAUAUAUAAAUAAAAAAACUGCCACAGCAAAAAAAAAAAGUAAUUUUAAAAUGGCAGAUCACUUCUCCUCGAGUGAAGAACAAAACCAGAACUACUGAAGAAGCAUGAGAGAGAAUCCAAUCAGAGGGACAAGCAUGAUGAAGAUGAUGAGCUGAUCUUUGUUGGGAUGGAAGAUGUGAAAGAAGAUUCUGAAAUUAUCUUAUUCAAAGUGAUUUCAAAUUCAAAACCAGUUAUUUCAAAUAUUUUGAAGGGUAACCCCAGGCUCAUAUUCGAAAAGAAAGAAAGGCCACCUCCGUCAAGACCCUGCUGGUGUGUCUCAACCUGGAAUUCAUGUGACCCCCAAUAGCCAAAGCGAUGGCUGCCAUGCCAAACUCUGUCUGAAUGGAGAUCAACAAAUAGUCCCAUUACUACCGAAUCUUCAUCCAAACUUGCUUAUAAAGUGAGCUCACCAGAAGUCAUUCCUCCUCAUGAUUCAAACCAACUUUUCACUGCUAAUAAAAUCAGUAGAAACCCCAAAAGAUCUAAACUCGAAUGAAAUCCCAAGUGUGUGUUCUACUAUGAUCCCUCCUGGUAUCUCUCCUACAGUGGACACAUGUACACCAUCAAAAAAGAUCUGCUUGUCAAGCAGUGUUCAGAAUGGAACAUCUCAUCCUUGGACUCAUGCUAAGGAACAGGCACCUUUUGUUCUCAGGGAUCCAGACCCAGAAGAUAGGUUUGGUAAAAACAGGCUUAUCAGGUCUAACAGGUCAAAACAAGACCUUUGCUCCCAAGACAGGAACUCUGAUCCUGUUACUUAGUGACUUUUACUAUGGACAACUUAAAGAAGAUGGGCAGCUAGAACCAGACUCACUCAACCUUUAAAUGCCUCAGCUACUUGAAGGUUCUGAAAAGUGCUAAGUUUAUGAAUCACAUGAAGUGCCAUUUGGAAUGUGAGAAGCAGAGGGGUGACAGCUGGGAAAACCAUACCACCUGCCAGCACUGCCUUCAGCAGUUUCCUACUCCAUUCCAGCUGCAGUGUCACAGCGACCGGGUGCACACUACCCAGGAGCCCUCUGCUAUCUGUAAAAUCUGUGAGUUGUCAUUUGAAACAGAUCAGGUUCUCUUACACCACAUGAAGGACAAUCAUAAGCCUGGGGAAAUGCCUUAGGUGUGCCAGCUUUGCAAUUAUAGAUCGUUGGCCUUUGCUGAUGUGGAAACACAUUUUAGAAUGUGCCAUGAAAACACUAAGGAUUUGCUUUGUCUGUUUUGUCUUAAAAUUUUCAAAACUGCAAAUUCAUACAUGAAUCAUUGUUGGAGACACUGGAGCAAAAGAGAGUCUCCAUGCUCCAAGUGCCGGCUACAGUUUUUGAGUUUGAAGGAGGAAAUAGAGCACAAAAGCAAAGAUCAUCAAACAUUUAAAAAGCCAGAGGCACUGGAAGGGUUGCCUCCCAGAACGAAGGUUAUUAUUCAAACUUCAGUUCACCCAUCAAGAGGUACAGAAUCUAUUAUUGUGAGCAACAUUGACUUUGCCUGUCACCUGUAAAAACUAAAAAGAGGAAGAACUCUAGAUAUUCUGGACUCCUUUGCAGCCAGGGUUCUGGCUAAAUAUGUGUUUUAUACACUUCCAUGGAUUCUGAAAGGCAGAUAAAGAGACUAGGUCAUCUGUAUUUCAUGACUGAUGCUAGCAUGCAGUGUCAGAUUUUACAGUGACAUCUCUAGCUCCCUACUCUAAAGAAGCAGUUCAGAAAUCUUCAUGCCCUUUCUUCACUCAAACCCCUGUACAAAAGUAAACAUGACUCUGAUCUUUAUCAUCAGAGAUUAAUUUUUACUGUCUUUAAACUUUAAAUAAAUGUGUUAAAUCACUUUAAUUAAAAAAAAAUUCUUCUAAAUCUGAUGUUUGGGCUGGGAUUUACCUCAGUGGUUCUGGCACCUGCCUUGCAACUGCAAGGUCCCGAGUUCGAUCC
ensembl:lncRNA